rnacentral:rRNA from 1 species
UACGUAGGGGGCGAGCGUUGUCCGGAGUUACUGGGCGUAAAGCGCACGCAGGCGGUCGGGCAAGUUUGGGGUGACAGUGGUCGGCUUAACUGACCAAGUGCCUCAAAGACUGUCGGACUUGAGGGCCAGAGAGGGACACGGAACCCCAGGUGUAGUGGUGAAAUGCGUAGAUAUCUGGAAGAACACCAAAGGCGAAGGCAGUGUCCUGGGUGGUACCUGACGCUCAGGUGCGAAAGCUAGGGGGAGCGAACGGGAUUAGAUACCCCCGGGUAGUCCUAGCCGUAAACGAUGACCACUAGAUGUGCGGGGUAUCGACCCCCUGCGUGUCGGAGCAAACGCGAUAAGUGGUCCGCCGGGGGAGUACGGUCGCAAGAUUAAAAC